rnacentral:misc_RNA from 1 species
GAAUUUUAGCGCAUCUGCUUGCAGAGCGUGACCUCCACUCUAUACACUGUGCACUCAUUGACGGAAAAAAAGACACGAUUGGAAACUUUUGUGGAUGCUUUUCUGUGGCUCACUUUAAACACCGGUAUAAGUAUGUAAAUAAAAAAAAUAAGAAAAACUUUCAACAACGGAUCUCUUGGCUCU